AGUGAACGCUGGCGGUAGGCCUAACACAUGCAAGUCGAACGGCAGCACAGUAAGAGCUUGCUCUUACGGGUGGCGAGUGGCGGACGGGUGAGGAAUACAUCGGAAUCUACUUUUUCGUGGGGGAUAACGUAGGGAAACUUACGCUAAUACCGCAUACGACCUACGGGUGAAAGCAGGGGAUCUUCGGACCUUGCGCGAUUGAAUGAGCCGAUGUCGGAUUAGCUAGUUGGCGGGGUAAAGGCCCACCAAGGCGACGAUCCGUAGCUGGUCUGAGAGGAUGAUCAGCCACACUGGAACUGAGACACGGUCCAGACUCCUACGGGAGGCAGCAGUGGGGAAUAUUGGACAAGGGGCGCAAGCCUGAUCCAGCCAUACCGCGUGGGUGAAGAAGGCCUUCGGGUUGUAAAGCCCUUUUGUUGGGAAAGAAAAGCAGCAGGUUAAUACCCCGCUGUUCUGACGGUACCCAAAGAAUAAGCACCGGCUAACUUCGUGC
rnacentral:rRNA from 1 species